rnacentral:lncRNA from 1 species
GCCACUGGCAUCAUGUCUUGGAAGCCUUCCCUCUGCCUGGCUCCAACAGAUUGAUUACCUAUUUGGACAGUCUGCUAUGCUUUGGACAAUCACUGCAACAUGUGCAGCUUCUUAAAUUACCCUCCACGGCACCCGUGACCAGCUACUAGCAUGGGCUGGGAAGAGGAACUUCAAAUGAGAUAAACGCUUCAUCAGAUUUUCUACAGACAUGCUACAAGGCACUUUCUUCAUUAAUGGCUGAUGUGGAUGGUUCCAGUCAUGGUGCUACCACCCUUGCACAGGGUUGUUAAGAGUCUCAGUUGGUGAGUGAAGAACAUUCACACCAUUCUUUCUAAGCUGUCUCCAUUGGGCAGAGGAGAAAGCUGUUCACGAAAAUGAAUGCCCAUUUUGGUAUCUGAAAUCAGUAUUUCCACAUUGUGAAAAUCACAUAUAUAUGGAAUGAGUGAUGAGGAUGACACAUGGCUGAUUUCAAUUUGGGAACUUAGGGAACAGUAAUGGAAGAACCUAAUAAAAGCAAUAGGAAAAGGACCCUCCAACUAGGGAAUGGUGCCACCCAAGGUGACCUGAGACUUCUCACACAAAUAAACAAUCAAAAUAAUUCCAAAAGACAUGCUCAUGUACAUCUACUUUAAUAAGGGUUUUUAAGUGCUUCAACCUCCAUUAUAGCCCACUGACCAAAGGUGCCAAUGGACUCUUUGGAUCAUAUAUACACGUGGUGAAAAAUAAUCCAGUUCCCAUGACUGGAUCAUCUUCAAAUAUGUGGCCAAUGGUAAAGUAUUCAAAGAUCUUUCAGUUGUCUUUGGUAAUAAUGAGAGGGGGCAACUAGCUUUGCUCUGCAAAUCUAUAUAUGCACAUGUGUCUUAGUCAGGGUUUCUAUUCCAGCACAAAACAUCAUGACCAAGAAGCAAGUUGGGGAAGAAAGGGUUUAUUCAGCUUACACUUCCACAUUGCUGUUCAUCACCAAAGGAAGUCAGGACUGGAACUCACACAGGGCAGGAAGCAGGAGCUGAUGCAGAGGCCAUGGAGGGAUGUUACUUACUGGCUUGCUUCCCCUGCCUCCGUCAGCUUGCUCUCAUAUAGAACCCAAGACCACCAGCCCAGAGAUGGCAUCACCUACAAUGGGCCUUCCAACCCUUGAUCACUAGUUCAGAAAUGCCUUACAGCUGAGUCUCAUGGAGGCAUUUCCUUAGCUCAGACUCCUUUCUCUGUGAUCACUCCAGCUUGUGUCAAGUUGACACACAAAUACAGCCAGUACCACACAUAACUAAGCAAAAGAAGAAAUUCACAUGCAUGAGACUCAUGUUACCUUUUUUGACACCCCUUGAAUAACAAAUAUCCCAAGAAGCGAGCUCCUGCACAUAUUCAUGCAAAGAUUUUGAAAUAUCAUUAAAGUCUGGCACCUCAGAUAGUAAGAAGUUAAUUUCCACCCAAGAGGUGAAGUACGCCAUUGUUUCGCAUUUUCUUUCUGAAGCUGUUUUAGAUAUUUUGUUUAUCAUUAUUUUAUUUGAAAAGUGACAAAAAAAUUUUGCCAGUCUAAAAUGCUGUUCAAUACUUUUUCGCAAUUGACAGGCUUAGCAUUUUUGGCUUGACUAUUUUUCAGUGAUAUUGUUGAUUAUUUUCAAUAAUAAUUUUGCUGAUAUGCAGUUAGUAUUUCUACAGCAGUAAAUUUGAAACUAGCCUUAGCAAGUGUAAACGUUUGAGAAUUUGAGAUUGACUUUAGUAAGCUCAGUGGUGUUUGAUUGCUCAGGGCUCCAUUGGCUCUGUCUUUUCUGAGUCAUCACAAGAGACCCAAGCAGCCCUGAUAUCACAAGGAGAGAGCCUAGGAUUGUUGAAGACAUUGUAUUUUGAAGAAAUCAACAAGAAAUAUUUUAUGUUUGCUUCAUUUAUAUUUAAAUAAUUUUAUUAGUUAAGUAUGUUGGGACCAUCUACUAGGCUUAUUACAAUUCCAAUGACUCUGAUUUACUCAGUAUGGAAUGAGCUUGAAGUUUGAAGAUGUAAAAACACAGUCACUGCUGUCUUGGUUCUGAGUUCUAUAAUUCAAUUAGCAAUGACAUCCAUCAUGUUCUUGUUUGUCUUCAGGUCUGUAGUUCAACAUCAGAGGGACUUGAAAAGAUGAAAUCAUUUGUAGUGUGUACACUUCUUGUUUUUUUUUUUCUAAUUUAAAUAUUUAACAUUGAUUGUGGGGGUCUCUUCCCUCCUUUGAACCAUGAGUUCUAGGAUUAAAAGCAGGCCAUUAGAAUUGUAGGCCUUACCUGUUACCUCCUUCCAGCCUAGCAAGGCUGGCUGAGACCAGAGGCCACUGAGGCAGAGUCACCUGCUGUGCUGCUUCUCAUCCCUCUCCUUUGAUGUGCCACUACCUGCCACCUGCCUGAGGAUGAACCACCUUGCCAAGAUCUUCAGGAGUUAACACCAAACUGUGAUCUUCACAAGUUCCUACUAAAAGGCUGAUCUGUCAACUUCAAAGGAACUUUGGGUGACUGGGAAUGGGCCUCCCCUCUUCUUUAUAAAGCACAUUUGCCUACAUUAAAGUUGAGUCUUGAUAAGAUUUAGUCUUGACUCCAUUUCUCUCUUUACCCACCUAGAUCCCCUUUUUUCUUCCAGGUUCCAAGAUGAAUCCCAGGCUGGAACCCAGACAUGAGAGCCGCAGGCUGGCCCCAACACCUGUAGAUCCAUUUCUCCAGGCCCUGCUCACUCAUUACAGAUUGCCCUACUUUUCACCUGUUUCUCAACCUGCCUGUGUGAUUCCUCAGUUCACCAUUGUUUCUGCUUAUUUUAUGUUCUAAGGGAUACCUUCAGCCUCUUCCAUAAUGCUCAUAGCACAUCAUUGACUGUCCAGUUGUCUGGACACUGGCUUGGCUCUCCUUGUACUUUUCAUUUAACUUCCUUUCUGGUGGUUGACAAACCAGAAACCAAACCAUAAAUGCAAAUACUUCUGACUUUGAGUUUCAGGAAAAGGCUUUCCUCGGCGUUGAACAUAGUUGAAAGAGGAAUGGGUCUCCAGUUAAGGUCCAGCAGCAAAUUUUAAUUUUUGUUCUUGUUCAGUGUCUGCUAUGAUUAUUAAGGCUUUGAGAAGAAAAUAGUUUCUAGAUAAACUCUUCCAAGUCUUCCUCCAUAGCUUGAUGCUGCCCUGAUGUCUGAAAACAACUUAUAUCUACAUUUGCUGAUUUGUCUUUUAAAUAUAAUAUAUGUACCUGCCAUGUGUUAACUAGGACUAUUUUAUGCUAAUAAUUUUGUACUUUAUUGUGAUUUUUUUUUGCAUGAACUUGUGUGUUGUUUGGCUGUGUGUGUGUGAGAGAGAGAGAGGUGGGGGGAGAGAACAAGAGCAUGUGUGUAACGUACAUGUGCAUGUGUGCAGAGGCAUGAGAUUGAGGCCAGGAAUCUUGCUCCAUCACUCUCUAUCCUAUUUGAGGGGCAAGUUUCCCAACUGAAGCAAGAGCUUCCCAUUAGUGCCUGCUGAGUGGUAGAAUUAUAUGUGCAUGACAAUGCCACCCAAUAUUUAUAUGUAUGUGGCUUCUGGGCAUAUGAACUUGAUCUUCAUGUUUUUGAGUAUUUUACCCAAGGAAUCACCCUCCUGGCCCCAUGCUGCACAAAAUCUUUGAAAGACAAUAACUUCUGCAAAAUAAGAGGCUAGUGCAUUGGGAAGCUGACAUUUCAUAAUAGUUUUCUGAACUACGUGAUUUAUUUCAAAUUUUAUGUGAGGUGCAUAUAUUAGUAUCUACACCAAAAAAUAGAAGGCACACACUACUAGCCUUGAUUUUUAUGAGGAUACUCGCUUUAAUGUAUUUUUUUAUGUUUACAAUCACGGACGAUGUAAUUAAUAGUCUGACUGGGUAAGUUGAAAUUCAGAUAUCCCACAAAUGAUUAUUGCAUUUGUUGUGCUCCAGGAAUCCUCAACUCUCAAGAGUUGGCAUUCAUUAAAUCUGUUCUUCUCACAUAUUCUGUUGAUUGUCUAUGCAAAUUAUGAGAAUAAAGCUUUGCACAGAGUUGUUAGCCAUGCAUGUUUUAUGACACUAUUAAUGCAUCUUUGUGCAUCUAAAAUGGUACAUUGGCCAAAAAAAUGACUCACUACUGUGUGUCUUACAAACUGAGACUAAUUAUUUAACUGAAUGGAUUAGAAUCUGCAAGGCUUCUGGGAGCAUAUUCCGAAUUGUUUUCAUGCCUUUCUAAUUUUAUUAUAAUAAACUUUAUGCAAACAAACGACCUUAAAACAGCACAUCUCAAUUUACAUGUAAUUAUGAGCAUGCUUAAUUUCUUGAUAUGAAAAUUGGGAUUAAUAAAAAGGCUAAC